rnacentral:rRNA from 1 species
UACAGAGGUCUCAAGCGUUGUUCGGAUUCAUUGGGCGUAAAGGGUGCGUAGGCGGCGCGGUAAGUCGGGUGUGAAAUCUCGGAGCUUAACUCCGAAACUGCAUUCGAUACUGCCGUGCUUGAGGACUGGAGAGGAGACUGGAAUUUACGGUGUAGCGGUGAAAUGCGUAGAGCUCGGGAAGAACAUCGGUGGCGAAAGCGCUCUGCUGACUGCAACUGACACUCAGGGACGAAAGCUAGGGGAGCGAAUGGG